rnacentral:rRNA from 1 species
GACGAACGCUGGCGGCGUGCUUAACACAUGCAAGUCGAACGGAAAGGCCCUGCUUUUGUGGGGUGCUCGAGUGCGAACGGGUGGGUAACACGUGAGUAACCUGCCCUUGACUUUGGGAUAACUUCAGGAAACUGGGGCUAAUACCGGAUAGGAGCUCCUGCUGCAUGGUGGGGGUUGGAAAGUUUCGGCGGUUGGGGAUGGACUCGCGGCUUAUCAGCUUGUUGGUGGGGUAGUGGCUUACCAAGGCUUUGACGGGUAGCCGGCCUGAGAGGGUGACCGGCCACAUUGGGACUGAGAUACGGCCCAGACUCCUACGGGAGGCAGCAGUGGGGAAUAUUGCACAAUGGGCGGAAGCCUGAUGCAGCAACGCCGCGUGCGGGAUGACGGCCUUCGGGUUGUAAACCGCUUUCGCCUGUGACGAAGCGUGAGUGACGGUAAUGGGUAAAGAAGCACCGGCUAACUACGUG